AUUGAACGCUGGCGGCAUGCCUUACACAUGCAAGUCGAACGGCAGCACGGGCGCUUGCACCUGGUGGCGAGUGGCGAACGGGAGAGUAAUACAUCGGAACGUACCUUACCGUGGGGGACAACGCAGCGAAAGCUGUUAUAAUACCGCCUACGCUGCGAGUGCGAAAGCGGGGGAUCGAAACACCUCGCGCGAUGCGAGCGGCUGAUCCCUGAUUCGCUUGUUGGUGUGGUAAAAGCCCACCAGGGCGACGAUCAGUAGCUGGUCUGAGAUGACGAUCAGCCACGCUGGGACUGAGACACGGCCCGGACUCCUACGGGAGGCAACAGUGGGGAAUUUUGGACAAUGAGGGCAACCCUGAUCCAGCAAUGCCGCGUGAGUGAAGAAGGCCUUCGGGUUGUAAAGCUCUUUUGUCAGGGAAGAAACACCGGCUCUAACACAGUCCGGGAAUGACGGUACCUGAAGAAUAAGCACCGGCUAACUACGUGCCAGCCGCCGCGGUAA
rnacentral:rRNA from 1 species